UGCGUCCUACCAUGGGUUUCCACCUAAUCU
rnacentral:piRNA from 1 species